AGCGAACGCUGGCGGUAGGCCUAACACAUGCAAGUCGAACGGCAGCACAGUAAGAGCUUGCUCUUACGGGUGGCGAGUGGCGGACGGGUGAGGAAUACAUCGGAAUCUACUUUUUCGUGGGGGAUAACGUAGGGAAACUUACGCUAAUACCGCAUACGACCUACGGGUGAAAGCAGGGGAUCUUCGGACCUUGCGCGAUUGAAUGAGCCGAUGUCGGAUUAGCUAGUUGGCGGGGUAAAGGCCCACCAAGGCGACGAUCCGUAGCUGGUCUGAGAGGAUGAUCAGCCACACUGGAGGUGAGACACGGUCCAGACUCCUGCGGGAGGCAGCAGUGGGGAAUAUUGGACAAUGGGCGCAAGCCUGAUCCAGCCAUACCGCGUGGGUGAAGAAGGCCUUCGGGUUGUAAAGCCCUUUUGUUGGGAAAGAAAAGCAGCAGGUUAAUACCCCGCUGUUCUGACGGUACCCAAAGAAUAAGCACCGGCUAACUUCGUG
rnacentral:rRNA from 1 species